rnacentral:ncRNA from 1 species
UUGAGCCGGGUGCGGUGAAAGUCGCACGCCCGGUUCUGAGGGGGGACUCUGCGCCGAGAGGUCAGGGCCCUACCCGAC